UGGCUGUUGCUCUCAAUAACUUGACCCAG
rnacentral:sRNA from 1 species